UGAUUAAGGUUAAGAAAAAUGUGAGCAUUAUGCGGCCACGAAAGUUAAGUUUAGGCAUUAAAACGAUUAGUUAAGUUAAGGAAAAAGAUUGUGGUUUGGAUUAAAACACUCCUAAGGAACACGUAUUUCCUGGGUGAAAGUCUUAUGUUUUCCCGGGGAAGAAAACUCCACUCCCU